UGCUGCAUGGCUGUCGUCAGCUCGUGUCGUGAGAUGUUCGGUUAAGUCCGCUAACGAGCGCAACCCUCGCUGUGUGUUACAAGUGUCACACGGAACUGCCGGUCAUAAACCGGAGGAAGGUGGGGAUGACGUCAAGUCAGCAUGGCCUUUAUAUCCUGGGCUACACACACGCUACAAUGGGAAGGGACAAUAGGUUGCGAAGCCGCGAGGCGGAGCCAAUCCAGCAAAACUUCCCUCAGCUCAGAUUGCAGGCUGCAACUCGCCCGCAUGAAGUUGGAGUUGCUAGUAAACGCAGGUCAGCCAUACUGCGUUGAAUACGUUCCCGGGGCUU
rnacentral:rRNA from 1 species